UUUUCGAGGAAGAGCCGGAUGCCCCCCAGCAUGAGGACAAGGAGACCCAAGUUAACAAAACCUUCAUAGCUGUUGAAUCCUGAUGACCAAGAAAGAAGGGAGUCUCUUGGCUUGUGUAUCCUGUAGAAGUUUAUAAGCUCUGUUCCUGGCGUGGUCUUCCAGGAUAGACGCCAGAUAAAGGGGCAAGACGUGUGUUAAUAAUACUUAUUAACAUUAUUCUACUACUACCGGCCCUUACCUAUUCUACUUGUGCUCCAUCCAAGUGGUAGGAGAUUCCAGAACAUCGGAUUACCAUCUGCCCAGGAUAACCUACAUAAAUAACAUCAGAGGAACUAUCCAGGGCCAUACCUACUCCUACCCAACUACAAGAACUGAAGGCCAAUUUUUUUUAUUAUAUUUAAAUUUUAAGUAAAAUUCUCAAAAAUCAUUUUUCUUGUUUUUCCUAAAUCAUUUCUUUAUUUAUUUAUUUUUCCAUUAAUUUCUUUUGUUCAGUUGGAAGGCGUUCCACUGACACUUAGUAUUAUUAUAUAAACAAAUAAAGAUCAAAUUAAAUAAUAAAAGCCAAGAAUAAGAAUAAAAUGUUCAACACAAAUAAAUGCUAUCACACCAAGUUAAAAUAACUAACAUCAGUUUAAACCCAUUCAAUCAUUAAUGUGUAAAAGACUUAAAAGUUCCAAGAUCCACACAGGCUGCCUUGUACGUACUUAUAAAACCAUGAUGAAGGCAGGAAGACCUAAGGAGUGGGCAAGCUGUUAAAAUGUGUUGCAGAGUCAGCUGCAUGCCAUGAGCUAUAAAGAUGGAAACGGUAUUUACAAGAUGUAUGAACUCAGUCCUCAGUCAAGACUUAUCAAAGUUGCUAUUGGUGUGAAGGAGGGCUGAAUACCCAUGUUCUGCCAAACCCUGCAUAACUUGCUCCCAGUCUGCAGGGGCUACUGGACCUGCCAUUUUCCAAGGACAUCUGUAGAUAUGGCCAAUGAAGUUGCUGUAGAACAAAAGUUCUACUGUGGAGUGGGCUCAUUACAGCAGCCUUUGCUUAGCAUCCACAAGUUCAUUUCCUGGGACACCAACAUCACUCUACAUACUUUGCCAUGCAUGGAGACUCAAUAUCCACUCCUGGAUCUUUAGGACCACAGGGUGGACAGAAGUAUAAUGGGCUAGGGCAGACAGGCAAAUCUAUUUAGCAACAGGUACACAUGCAUAAUUAUCAUACAGUGUAAAUUAUCUAGGAAAACCCCCCAAAAAAACUGACUUAUUUCCACUGGGGUCCUUGUAAUAUCUUAUUUAAACCUUAAAAGUUAAAUCGGGUAACUCAACUGUGAAAAUCAGCUACAAUAAAAGGAGAUAUACUAGGAAUAAAGUUAGCAGUAACAGCCUGGUUGAUCAGGCCAUGAUCCACUAAGGCAGAGCUGUGCAAUGAACACAAAAGACUCCUGGUAGCUGUGAGCACUUAGCAUUCUCAGCAGUGAUCACAGCAAAGCCAACACCACCCAUACUCUUUGAAGCAUGAACCAAAUUAUGCUAAAAACCAUUAGCCAAGGUCACCAUUGGUGCUCAACACUUUGGUAUGCUCAUCCAGAGAGGGCAGGGAGAGAAGUCAGUCUGUGACUGCAGACACUGAGGUCACAAUCCAGGUUAGGGGCCUGCAUCCGAAAGUCAAACAGCAUAAGUAGCCUCAUACAGCAAGCAUAGAGCUUCUCCCCCUCCUUGCAAAGAUCAUAGCACAAGCCAGGUUGCCUGAAGUAAAUACGUCAAACCAGAAAUAGGUAAUGUGGGAUGAGCUUACAAAGGAGAUCCAGGAAAAGCUUGCUAGACUCAACAUAAAGGCUCUCAACAGGGAAGGUAUGGAAUACACUUGUGAAAAGCAAUAUCCCAAGAUGAUGAACAGGGUUCAGCAAAUAUAGCAAGAAAGAACUGGCUGAGAUCAGGCAGCCAUAUCCUAGUCUAGAAUGUCACAAGGCUGUAUACAGAUACAACACUAUCCAUCAAUCAGUCCCAGCAGGUAUGGUGGCAGAGCACCAUACGACAUUCUUAUGCCCACACAUUUACUUAGAGUUCAUUCACACAAAAGUCGAAUGUCAUGUGAUAAUCAAACGAUCAUUCCCCAAAAUGUCACUUGCUGAUCAUAGGGAAGGACUACACCAUAUAGUGAUAUACACAUGUAUCUUUGAAGAGUUUCGAGAGUUUUUCUACUCUCUGAGCCCGGCCAUGGACCAGGCUCGUCUGGUGCUUGGAAAGCAGGUUGGCUAACCAAGGACUCUGUAAAAUGAGUGAAAAACCAAAGCUAUUAUAAGCAGCCCACUCCGUGAUGUCCACUGCCACCUGUCACGGUGACAGGCCACCCCAGGAGCAGAUGUCGCGCAAGAACAUCUAUAUACAUAGAGGCCUAGACAGGGGAUAACACUAGCCACACCAUCCAUAGCCAUAAUAAAUCAUGUGAUGCCCAAAAUACUUCCCUGCUGGAUCCCCCUCUUCCUGGAGAGGAUUUCAGGGAUCAAUGCCCCCACAGCCUGGUCUGUGAUAAAGUCUCAUGGUGGAUCAGGGUCUGAUCAACCAGACUGUUACUGUUGGCUGCAUGCAUGCCGACGUACAAACCACAUCAUGGCUGGUCAGGUACUGACUUUAGGUGCCUGUCCAGCACCUUGAAGACAGCCAAGGGUCGCAAGUGCUGUCACCAAUCAUUGCAACACUAACAAAUCCAUCGAAUCCUCUACCUUUCCUACAGUUCUCAAAAUAGCAAGGGUCACCCCGAUCCAUAAAGGAGACCAAACAGGCUUGAAUAGCUAUAGGCCAAUAUCCAACUUACACCCUCUCUAAAAUCUUCGAAAAAUUAAUUCAUAAGCGAAUCUAUUCCUACUUCAUCUCCCAUAACAUACUCAACCUCUGUCAGUUUGGGUUCAGGCCUAAUAAAAAUACGAAUGAUGCUAUUAUACACAUGCUAGAACAAAUCUACAUUGCGCUAGAGAAAAAAAAGAAGUCCCACUGGGGAUCUUCAUUGAUUUACGUAAAGAAUUUGAUACAGUUGACCAUGAUUUGCUCCAUAUAAAAUUAUCACACUAUGGUACAAGAGGGCACUCCCUCAACUAUCUAAAGUCAUACCUCAGCAACAGAAGCCAAUAUGUGUACACAAAUGGAGCAAACUUCUGCACACCCAAUUACAGUUGGUGUCCCACAGGGUAGUGUCCUAGGCCCUCUUCUCUUUCUCGUUUACAUAAAUGACCUACCAAAUGCAUCGCAACUACUCAAACCCACACUAUUUGCAGAUGACACUACAUACGUCUUCUCUCACCCAAACCCAGUCAUUCUAGCCAAUACUGUAAAUACCGAAUUACAGAAAAUAUCCACCUGGAUGAUCAACAAACUUACUCUCAACAUUGACAAAACCUACUUCAUUCAGUUUGGUAACAGAGCUACAGAUGUCCCUCUUAACAUAGUGAUAAAUGGAUCACCUAUCACAAAACUCAGAGGGAAAAUUCUUAGGAAUCCACCUUAAUAAUACUCAAAUUUCAAACACAUGUAUAACAAAUUUCCCAAAAAAUUUCCAAGACCGUAGGCAUACUAUCGAAGAUACGGUACUAUGUUCCACAGCCAGCCCUCCUGGCCCUAUAUCACUCACUCAUUUACCCCUAUCUCACCUAUGGAAUUUGUGCAUAGGGCUCAACAACAAUAAACCAUCUCAGACCAUUAAUUACCCAACAAAAGGCUGCAUUCAGAAUGAUAAAUUCCCACUACAGGCAGCACACUCCACCAAUAUUCAAAACUCUAAACCUACUCGCCAUACAAAACAUCCAUACUUAUUAUUGUACUUACUACAUACAUAGAACACUAAACUCUGAUAUAAACCCUCCCCUCAAACAUCUCCUUGCCAACCUCAACAGAACACAUGGCCAUAACACAAGGCACAGAUCACUCUUUGAUGUUCCUCGUGUCCAUCUCACACUAUGCAAAAACUCAAUGCGCAUAAAAGGCCCUAAAAUCCGGAAUUCAUUACCUGUGAAUAUAAAAGAAACACACUGUUUAUAAAUUCAAGUCUUCUUAAAAAUCACUUACUCACCCUCAACUAAAUAAAUACUGAAUAACUGUAUCUCAUAAAUGUGACCCAAUCAAACUCUUAUUUUUUAAUAAUACCUAACAGAAUACUCCAUUCUACUGAAUGCACAGAAACAUAGUAAAUGACAAUAUGACCUGUCUUUGAAAUACUCAUUUGUGCUUAAUUGUUAUUUGUUCACAAGGAAGGAAAAAAAAACUGGCAGGAAAUGGCAGAAAUCGUACACCAAAUCCAGUCAUUCCUGGAGUGGAACCACAGUCGAUGGCCUCCACUCCAAACCAACAGAUACAGAUACUAAUGCCGGAAAAAAAAUCCCCCCCCCCCAGUACCAACAA